rnacentral:rRNA from 1 species
AUACCGGCGGCUCGAGUGGUGGCCACUUUUAUUGGGCUUAAAGCGUUCGUAGCUGGGUUGUUAAGUCUCUUGGGAAAUCCGACGGCUUAACCGUCGGGCGUCUAAGAGAUACUGGCAAUCUUGGAACCGGGAGAGGUGAGGGGUACUUCGGGGGUAGGAGUGAAAUCCUAUAAUCCUGGGAGGACCACCUGUGGCGAAGGCGCCUAACUGGAACGGACCUGACGGUGAGUAACGAAAGCCAGGGGCGC